GUGCUGUAUGAAAGGAGAGAAGAACAGCACUGCACUAAGGAUGAAAGACUUCCUGAUGGCCUUACAACACACAGACAGUUAAGACAUUGCCAUCUACUUAGUGGCAUCUAACUGUUGUGUAUU